rnacentral:lncRNA from 1 species
AAUAGCCUACCUCACACAGCCAUUGUGUAUGACUCCGUGUACGAUUCGUCCCUGAUGUGCGCGACUGCUCUCAGAGUCGCCUUGAACAUGUCGGCAGAGACAUCAACAUAUAUGGUGCACUUGAAAGGCCUCAACGGGACCCAAGAGGAAAACAUAACCUAUGAUUAUUCAGCGGCAGUUCCAGACGACCCAACAAAGGCCACUCUUGUGAUCGACAAAGGUAAAAUCCACAUAGCAGCAGCCUUUUUGCUGAUUAAAUUUUUAAGAUGAUCACC